rnacentral:rRNA from 1 species
UAAAGGGUGCGUAGGCGGUUUAUUAAGUCAGUGGUGAAAGACGGUCGCUCAACGAUUGCAGUGCCAUUGAUACUGGUAGACUUGAGUGGGAUUGAGGUAGCUGGAAUGGAUAGUGUAGCGGUGAAAUGCAUAGAUAUUAUCCAGAACACCAAUUGCGUAGGCAAGUUACUAAGUCUCAACUGACGCUGAGGCACGAAAGUGUGGGUAUCAAACAGGAUUAGAUACCUGGU